rnacentral:rRNA from 1 species
AGUGGCGUACGGGUGAGUAACACGUGACUAACCUUCCUUCGAGUGGGGAAUAACCUCGGGAAACCAGGGCUAAUACCGCAUAACAUCCUAGGGGUGAAACUCCCUUGGAUCAAAGGGGUAAGACGCUUGAAGAGGGGGUCGCGGCUGAUUAGUUAGUUGGCGGGGUAACGGCCCACCAAGACGAUGAUCAGUAUCCGGCCUGAGAGGGCGCACGGACACACUGGAACUGAAACACGGUCCAGACUCCUACGGGAGGCAGCAGUGGGGAAUUUUGCGCAAUGGGGGAAACCCUGACGCAGCAACGCCGCGUGGAGGAUGAAGUCCCUUGGGAUGUAAACUCCUUUCGACUGGGAAGAAACUGACGGUACCAGUGGAAGAAGCCCCGGCUAACUUCGUGCCAGCAGCCGCGGUAAUACGAGGGGGGCAAGCGUUGUUCGGAAUUAUUGGGCGUAAAGGGUGCGUAGGCUGUGCGGUAAGUCACCUGUGAAAACUCUGGGCUCAACCCAGAGCCUGCAGGCGA